rnacentral:lncRNA from 1 species
GUUAGCUCCUUAACUUUAGACUAGGCCUUUUGUAAUAGAGCUAACAAUGUUUUUACUGCACUAUACAUUUUGCAUCUUCUUGAUGCCUUAUAUGAAAUCCAUUAUUUUAUCAAAAAAAAACAAAAAAGAAAAAACGUGCAGCCUCUAAACUAAGCAUGAUGCAAAACAUGGAUUCCCACUCACCUCAUAAUGGAUAAGAUUGAGGAUGUGAUCAGGGCGAAUAUCCAUGGUUCCUUUAUGUAACCAAUAUGUAUGUGCACCUCUGUCUUCCUUGUAUUAGUGGUUAAGGUAAAUACAAAAUAAAGAUCUAAAGGCUACACAAAAAGAAGCCUAGCUCUUUGAAAUCCAUAUCUAAGGAUAUAUAAAGGCCAGCCAAUCUAAUAACACAACCGCCAAACUCCAGCACUACUUCCUCUGCCUUGAGAAGAAUAUCAGUUCUUGGGCUCCUCCCAAUUGGGACUAUGGGACCAUCCUACACAUUUGACAACGAAAAAGGUUUAACAAAAGCUCAGACCUCCUCAAAGAAACACAUGAUUAAUUAUAUUAAGAAUGAAACUACAUUAUGUUACAUGAGUUAAAUUUCAGUAGCUUCCUUCAGGAAAUACAGUUUGCAAAGUCUGUGUCUUUAAUUGACAAGCCUAGAAAUCCCUUCAAGAGGAAUCAAUCAGAAUAAGAAACUGUUACCAGCAAUAUAUAUAUAUAU